rnacentral:rRNA from 1 species
CGCNCCAAUGGAAAUGUGCGUCCAAGCAGUGAGUGUGAGAAGUAGGCAAAUCCGCUUCUCG